AGGGAGAGAGAGAGAGAGAGAGAGAGAGAGAGAGAGAGAGAGAGAGAGAGAGAGAGAGAGAGAGAGAGAGAGAGAGAGAGAGAGAAGGAGAUAAAGACUAGAAAGGGAUGGAUCCCAAUGAACUGUGCCAAAGCUCCUUUCACCUCCUCUUCCACUCACUCCUCUCUUCUCCAUCCUUCCCACUAUAGGUUGUUUCUGCAUUCUGUGUUAUGUCUCACCCUCUUUUCAUCACCCUUAUUUCAUCACCCUCUUACCAUCACCCUGUUAGAAACCAGCAGUCCAAGCCAAAGGACACCAUCUCACACAUGAACUGUGGAGUUUGGAACUCUGUAACCAUGGAAUCACAGCAUGUGUUCUAAUCACUUACCCACUAGACACCACGUUGACCUCUAGCCUGGAAGACAGGACAGCUCAUGACUUUGGGCACAGAAAGCAAACAUAGCUCUGUGUAACUUAUAGGGACCAUGUGAGUCCCAGAGGACAAGAAGAACAAGAGUUGUGUUGAUUGAAGGGAGGAGGACUCUGAGACCUUGGCUGGACAUAUUGAAAUAAGAGAAGAGAGAGAGAGAGGAAACACCUACGUCCUUCUACAAUACAUAGACCUCUACCUUUAAAUGAAUGCUGUUCUAUCAUCUAACAGCAUCAUUACAUUGUCUGGACUGGAUUACUGAUCAGUGGCCCCUGACUGUUCAAAAACAGACUGCUGUAUCUCUCUAUUCAACAGGUGGGCCACAGCUAUUGUGAUCAUACCAACAGCCGUCUCCAAGCCACUGUCAUGACAUUCACACAGCUACCAAGCUUUGUUAGGAGGAUGAAACAAAUGUGUUAUAGAGGUCAAAUGUGUUAUAGAGGUCAAAUGUGUUAUAGAGGUCAAAUGUGUUAUAGAGUUCAAAUGUGUGUCUGUGAAUGAAUUCUAUAAAGCAGAAGAAAGUGAACGGAGGAAAUCGGAGGACUGCAGAUUAUUAUAGUGGGGAUAAAGUACAUAGAAAUAACUGUCCAUUAAAAAUUAUAUUUUAUUAAUAAUUACUUUUUCAUUUUAUACUUCAUAUAUGUAUUGUUUUGAUGAUCCUGUCUUGUGACAUGGAGGCUUUGGAGUCGUCCUAUUCCCUAUGUAGUGCACUACUUUUUGCCAGAGUCCUAUGGUCCCCGGUCAAAAGUAGUGCACUAUAUAGGGAAUAUGGUGUUAUAUUGGACACAGCCUUUUAGACAUUGUUGUUCAGCGGAACCUCUAUCCCAGGGGUUCCUUCCUGCUUGGAAUGUCUAUUGUCCAAUCUCU